GCCAGGUGUGGUGGCGGGCACCUGUAAUCCCAGAUACUCGGGAGGCUGAGGCAGGAGAAUCGCUUGAAUCCAGGAGCCAAAGGUUGCAGUGAGCCAAGAUGGUGCCACUGCAUUCCAGCCUGGGUAACAGAGCGAGACUCUGUCUCAA
ensembl:misc_RNA Metazoa_SRP Metazoan signal recognition particle RNA